rnacentral:lncRNA from 1 species
CUUUGGGGACCCUCACUGAUCGAUCUGCUAAUUGCAAUGUAAUUUCUGUAGGUUUUAAUUCUCCUAUCCUUAAUUUUUCAUAGAUCGAAUAUGAUAGGAUAUUCACACUAGCCCCUAAGUCUAAUAAGGCCCUGUCAAUGAUGGUUUCCCCAAUAAUAGAAGAGAUUGUAGGAGAUCCUGGAUCUUUAUACUUGACAGGCAUGUGGCUUGAUAGAUAUGAGCUUACAUUAGCCGUCAAGAAGGCUUUCUUGGGAACGUUGGUGGUUUUCUUCUUUGUGCAUAG